rnacentral:rRNA from 1 species
AUUGAACGCUGGCGGAAUGCUUUACACAUGCAAGUCGAACGGCAGCACGGGGCAACCUGGUGGCGAGUGGCGAACGGGUGAGUAAUACAUCGGAACGUGCCCAAUCGUGGGGGAUAACGUAGCGAAAGUUACGCUAAUACCGCAUACGAUCUACGGAUGAAAGCGGGGGAUCGCAAGACCUCGCGCGAAUGGAGCGGCCGAUGUCAGAUUAGGUAGUUGGUGGGGUAAAGGCUCACCAAGCCAACGAUCUGUAGCUGGUCUGAGAGGACGACCAGCCACACUGGAACUGAGACACGGUCCAGACUCCUACGGGAGGCAGCAGUGGGGAAUUUUGGACAAUGGGCGCAAGCCUGAUCCAGCCAUUCCGCGUGCAGGAUGAAGGCCU